CUCUGCCUGUGGAAGCAGGCAUGUUCCUUUUAAUGCUCUAAGGCCAGGAAGUGGUGGAGACAGGAGGAAAUAUAGCAAAGUUUUUAAUAAGAUGGGAAUGAGGCAGAUACAGACCAGCUACGUAUGAGAUGCAGUUUCGGUUUCUGAAAAAAAGCAAGAAAUACAUGAAAGGUCAGCGUAGUCAGUGAAACUGAAAGUUGAGAGAACUCAGAUGAGGUAGUCUCAGAGGGCAAUGAAAGAGAGAAAUCUCUCACAGAGAAAGAAAACAAGAACGGCUUUGCCAAGGAGAAGCAGCAGACUAAACACACCAGGCACACCAAGUCAAAAAUCAUGGGGCAGAAACAAUCCAUCUGAAAGAGGGCCCUGGACCACACCCAACCCAUCAGACAUACCAUCCCCCGGUGUGACGAAGGCAAACGCCAUCCUGGCAACUCCCACCAAGGAAGCUCAGUGCCGUCUGAGAACCGACAGCAUCCCCUGGGAGCUUAAUGGAAAUGCAGAAUCUCUGGUCCCACCUGAAAGCAACUGAACUGGAAUCUGCAAUGAAAUGCCAUCCAGAGUCAUGUGUGUGUGCGCGGUGAAGUGUGAGAUGCACUGACCUAGAACAGACUUGCGCUACGUGGGCAAGCUCUGAAUAAGGCUGACUGAUGGGCUGAAUCAAUCCCUCACCUUAAAGGUCACACUCUGACCCCAGCGUACAAAUGUAUUAAAUGUAAAGUACUUGCUCAGAAACCAGUCAGGACAGCUCCUUAUACCCUGGACAUGCUGCGCAAGGCAAGUCCUUCCCUGCAUGGUACGGGGCACCAAGUGAAACGGCCACAAGCAGCUCUCUGACAUCUGACAAGAGCAGCUGAAUCUACAGAGGCAGGGAAUGGGGCUGGGGAAAGGUACAAAGGAAAGCAACUAUGCCUGUAAUUGUUGAUAAUAAAAAAAAAAUUGAC
ensembl:lncRNA